rnacentral:tmRNA from 1 species
GGGGAUGCUUGGUAUCGACAGGGAAUAAAAGUCGUAAAUUGCAGGUCGAGCCGCCCAGUCUCGUAAAAGGGGCACCGGCAAUAACUGCCAACAACAACACUCGGGUUCAGGCUCCUCGUCUGGCCCUCGCUGCCUAAUUAGGUAGCGCGCCUCCCGGCACUCCCCCGAUGGUGUCGGCACAGGCGUCAACAAGUCGGGUGCUCUCGAUCUAACCACCUGCUAGGGACGAGCUAAGAUCAGCGGGUUAACUCAAAAGUCGCUUUGCUCGGCGUGCGACUGCGAGUGAACUAAACACCGAGAUAAACCUGUAGUAUAUUUGCGAUCUAGUUUCUUGGACGGGGGUUCGACUCCCCCCAUCUCCACCA